GAAACUUAAUCUUCUGAUGUAGAGUUGAAGAGACUGCCCCAGCAUUAUGGAUCCAAGGACGACCCAGCAGGCAACUGUAGGAAGGACUGAUAUCCAUCACGUAGAAGACAGUGUUGAAGGUUUGUGAUCCAAUCAGAAUUGGCAAUUCUACCUCUCCAAACACCGAUCUCUUAGAACCAUCGAAGGCUCUCACAAUAAGAUCUGAAGGUUUCAAGACCAAACCCUCUACUUCUAACUUCGACAGGGCCCUCUUGGGUAGCACAUUGAGAGAGGAACCUGUAUCCACCAGAACAUGAGAUAACAUGGUGUCUCUGCAUUCCAAUGAGAUGUGCAGAGCCUUGUUAUGAUUGCGUCCAGCUGGUGUUAAGUCAGAAUCAGUAAAACCCAACCCGUUGCUUGUAUGGACAUUGGCAACGAUCCCUUCUAGUUGGUUCACUGAGAUCUCCUGAGGUACAUAUGCAGCAUUAAGAACCUUCAGAAGUGCCUCCCUGUGUGCCUCCGAACACAAUAGGAGUGAGAGAAUGGAUAUCUUGGACGGAGUCUGAAUCAACUGAUCGACUACCUUGUAAUCGCUUUUCUUUAUGAUUCUUAGAAACUCGUCCACGUCCUUUGCAAAAGUGGGCUCAGAACCAGCUUGGGGUGCAGAGGUACCCUCAUUCACGACUUGCUUGCCUUUGGUUUUCGCCACAGCAUCAGCAUUAUCAGCUUGGGUAACCGGUGGUGAGAGCAAUCUACCACUCCUGGUGAAUCGCCAGAUUCCACCAACAUUAUCCACUGCGGGACCGUCAAGCUCAGGCUUCUGACCCUCUUCUACUUUCAGUGGCCGUUCCACCUUAUGAUCGUGCGUAUACACGCUCCCCCC
rnacentral:lncRNA from 1 species